rnacentral:rRNA from 1 species
UACGGAGGUUGCAAGCGUUAAUCGGAAUUACUGGGCGUAAAGCGUGCGUAGGGGGCUGCUUAAGUCAGAUGUGAAAGCCCCGGGCUUAACCUGGGAACGGCAUUUGAUACUGGGCAGCUCGAGUUGAGUAGAGGAGAGGGGAAUUUCCGGUGUAGCGGUGAAAUGCGUAGAGAUCGGAAGGAACACCAGUGGCGAAGGCGGCUCUCUGGACUCAAACUGACGCUGAGGUACGAAAGCGUGGGUAGCAAACAGG